GCCCGGCGCGAGCUCGGAGUCGCCUGUGGUGUUCGCUGUGGCGGUAUCUGUGGCCGCGCUAUACAGCUCUGCGCCGCGCAGCGGUCGGGAUACCGCAGUUGUCCACGGCUUCUCUGCCCCCUAUCUGUCGGGUAGCCCUGCCGCUGAGGAGCUGGCGGGGCCCCGGGUCGGUGUGGUAAAGAUAGGCUGAGAGGGAAGUCCCGCCUCCGCUGCUGCCGAGAGGAGUCAUGCCUUGGGAGGCCGGCUCGGAGCCGGUGCCGUUCCCGCACUGCUCCGUAGGCUCUGCUGGUCGCGGCUCCCUGCCGGCACUCGGCGUGCCCCGUCAGGUGUGUGGAAAACAGACAUCAGCCCCCGCCCGUCACGUUGGCCUUGCGUCUUAAACCACGGCAGGACUGGAGUGGGAGCGUACACAAAUUCUUGUUGUGGCUUCCUGGAGGAAGCUACAGGAUGAGCUCGGAAAUGCUGCUGUGAAGAUAGGCGGGAAAACUGGAAGCAGUUCUGAGACGCGCUUACCGUCGAUAGCUAGCCGUGCUCCCUAAGAGCGCAGAAAGCCGUGCGGGUGGCUUAUGCUGUGACGGGAGCUCCCAGCGCACAGAGCCGCACUGCGCUGAGACCCGACAGCUCCAUCAGCAUUGCAAGGGCUGCAGGCAGCUUCGCUGUGUAGAAGGAUUUCUGAACUUAAAGGGAGGAUAUUCAGAUCACUCCGUUUAACUCCACUGGCUAUCUCUCUAAAACAAGCCACACACCAUCAGUUCAAUGGGAACAGAACUAUUCUGAAUAACGUGCUUUGAUCCAGCAUGAAGGAAGACAAUUUUAAUGAGUUAAGAGGCUCUUAAAGGCCUCAUGGAAAUAAAGGAAAUGUGAAAAACAUCUACUGGAAAAAUCUUCAUACUUUAGCAGGCCCAGAGCAUUUUAUAAUCAACAUGAGAUUUUCGUCCUGAAUUAACGACUUCUUUGUUUUAAAAAAGAAUACCAAUACUAAACAAACAAACAAAAAAGAUACAUUUGCUUCUCAUUCUCAGUGUUUAUUUUUGGAAGUCUUCCAGAAUUAUCUUUUGACUGUGGCUGCUGAUGUGGGCUAAGGAAGCAUUCACUAGCUUCAGUAUUUCUAGAGGGGCCUUGGGAAUUUAUUUACUUAUUUAGUUUGUUUUUACAGGGGGGGAGACAGUAUUCUUUUUUUUUCUUCUUUUUUCUUCAAAAAGUGGAUGGCAAGUUGAAGACUGUUUCACUGACUCCAACAUCUGUCCAGAAGGAUAUCAGCAAACUGUUACAGUGAGAGGGACAAAAACCUUCUGGUAGAGACUUUAAAAUCAGAAGGGAAAGAAAAAGUGUUAUCCUUUCCUAGCAGAAAUCUCCUGGCUUAGCUCCUUCAAAUUACUGCAUAUAAGAGUCAGCGUAACUCUCUCCACAAAAUUCAUGUUGGCUGAAGCUUUCAAAAUAAAUACGUAUCUGCUUCAUUUCCAUUUGCUGAUGCACUUAAGAGGAGAAACCUAACAGAAGAUACGGCCAAUUGCAGGUUUAUUCAGCCUGUAAGUCAUGGCAUAUUUCACCA